CCCUUAGAUGUUCUGGGCCGCACGCGCGCUACACUGAUGCAUUCAACGAGCCUAUCCUUGACCGACAGGUCCGGGUAAUCUUUGAAUCUGCAUCGUGACGGGGAUAGAUUAUUGCAAUUAUUAAUCUUCAACGAGGAAUGCCUAGUAGGCGCAAGUCAUCAGCUUGCGUCGAUUACGUCCCUGCCCUUUGUACACACCGCCCGUCGCUCCUACCGAUUGGGUGUGCUGGUGAAAUGUUCGGAUCGGCCGUUUGUCGCGGUUUCCGCGUCAUGUGGCUGAGAAGUUCAUUAAACCCUCCCACCGAGAGGAAGGAGAAGUCGGAACA
rnacentral:rRNA from 1 species